UCACUCGUUUCGGCAGUACAUAUGCAAAAUUUGGAAUGCUACAGAGAAGUUUAGCAUGGCCUCGCCCAAGGUGUCACGCAAAAUCUUGAAGCGUUCCACCUUUCC
rnacentral:snRNA from 1 species